rnacentral:rRNA from 1 species
CCUACGGGUGGCAGCAGUGGGGAAUAUUGCACAAUGGGGGAAACCCUGAUGCAGCGACGCCGCGUGAAGGAAGAAGUAUUUCGGUAUGUAAACUUCUAUCAGCAGGGAAGAAAAUGCCGGUACCUGACUAAGAAGCCCCGGCUAACUACGUGCCAGCAGCCGCGGUAAUACGGAGGGGGCAAGCUUUAUCCGGAUUUACUGGGUGUAAAGGGAGCGUAGGCGGCGAUGCAAGUCAGAGGUGAAAGCCCGGGGCUCAACGCCGGGACUGCUUUUGAAACUGUGUGGCUAGAGUGCAGGAGAGGUAAGUGGAAUUCCUAGUGUAGCGGUGAAAUGCGUAGAUAUUAGGAGGAACACCAGUGGCGAAGGCGGCUUACUGGACUGUAAAUGACGCUGAGGAUCGAAAGCGUGGGGAGCAAACAGGAUUAGAUACCCCAGUAGUC